UCUAGAGAUUCCUACGGGAGGCAGCAGUGGGGAAUAUUGCACAAUGGGCGCAAGCCUGAUGCAGCCAUGCCGCGUGUAUGAAGAAGGCCUUCGGGUUGUAAAGUACUUUCAGCAGUGAGGAAGGUGGUAGUGUUAAUAGCACUAUCAUUUGACGUUAGCUGCAGAAGAAGCACCGGCUAACUCCGUG
rnacentral:rRNA from 1 species